GACGAACGCUGGCGGCGUGCUUAACACAUGCCAGUCGAACGGAAAGGCCCUGCUUUUGUGGGGUGCUCGAGUGGCGAACGGGUGAGUAACACGUGAGUAACCUGCCCUUGACUUUGUGAUAACUUCAGGAAACUGGGGCUAAUACCGGAUAGGAGCUCCUGCUGCAUGGUGGGGGUUGGAAAGUUUCGGCGGUUGGGGAUGGACUCGCGGCUUAUCAGCUUGUUGGUGGGGUAGUGGCUUACCAAGGCUUUGACGGGUAGCCGGCCUGAGAGGGUGACCGGCCACAUUGGGACUGAGAUACGGCCCAGACUGCAACGGGAGGCAGCAGUGGGGAAUAUUGCACAAUGGGCGGAAGCCUGAUGCAGCAACGCCGCGUGCGGGAUGACGGCCUUCGGGUUGUAAACCGCUUUCGCCUGUGACGAAGCGUGAGUGACGGUAAUGGGUAAAGAAGCACCGGCUAACUACGUG
rnacentral:rRNA from 1 species